rnacentral:rRNA from 1 species
GACAGAGGAUGCAAGCGUUAUCCGGAAUUACUGGGCGUAAAGCGUGCGCAGGCGGUGAUGUAAGACAGGUGUGAAAUCCCCGGGCUUAACCUGGGAACUGCAUUUGUGACUGCAUCGCUGGAGUGCGGCAGAGGGGGAUGGAAUUCCGCGUGUAGCAGUGAAAUGCGUAGAUAUGCGGAGGAACACCGAUGGCGAAGGCAAUCCCCUGGGCCUGCACUGACGCUCAUGCACGAAAGCGUGGGGAGCAAACAGG